rnacentral:rRNA from 1 species
GCCGCGUGAGUGAUGAAGGCCCUAGGGUCGUAAAGCUCUUUCGCCAGGGAUGAUAAUGACAGUACCUGGUAAAGAAACCCCGGCUAACUCCGUGCCAGCAGCCGCGGUAAUACGGAGGGGGUUAGCGUUGUUCGGAAUUACUGGGCGUAAAGCGCGCGUAGGCGGAUCAGAAAGUUGGGGGUGAAAUCCCGGGGCUCAACCCCGGAACUGCCUCCAAAACUCCUGGUCUUGAGUUCGAGAGAGGUGAGUGGAAUUCCGAGUGUAGAGGUGAAAUUCGUAGAUAUUCGGAGGAACACCAGUGGCGAAGGCGGCUCACUGGCUCGAUACUGACGCUGAGGUGCGAAAGUGUGGGGAGCAAACAGGAUUAGAUACCCUGGUAGUCCACACCGUAAACGAUGAAUGCCAGUCGUCGGGUAGCAUGCUAUUCGGUGACACACCUAACGGAUUAAGCAUUCCGCCUGGGGAGUACGGUCGCAAGAUUAAAACU